rnacentral:rRNA from 1 species
AUGAAGGCCAACUGGAUCGUCCUCAUCCACCACAUCGGUAGUCCGUGGCGUCUCGUGGAUAUCUACACCCAGCAAGAGAUCACCCUUCCAUCGUUGGAUACCGCCGCCAUCGAGCCUCGCGGCCCGCCGGACACUCCUGCCUACUACGCACGAGACGCUUUGAAGCACUCCUCUGGUUUGAAGGAUAGAUACCUUCCUGGGAUCAAGUGCAUGCUAACUCACCUAUUACCAUAUAACUGGAAUUACCGAUGCAAGUCGAAGAAGGAUUGGCCGGUGCUGCCGGCUGGCGUCAAGUUCGAUCCCACGGAUCAGGAGCUGAUCGAGCACCUUGAGGCCAAAGUGAGUGCUGACAGCGCGAGAUUUCAGUCUCUCAUCGAUAUGUUCAUACCAACCAUCGACAGCGAGCACGGCAUAUGCUACACCCAACCCGAGAAACUUUCAGGUAUCACACUGAGUGGCCUAAGGAAGCAUUUCUUCAAGCACAAUUCCAGGGUGUUCAAAAGGGGCACGUGGACACGUCGCAAGAUACAGUCGGAGUGCGGCAUGCACGCGAUGUGGCACAAGACCGGCAAUACCUUGCCGGUGAUGAGGACAAACUGGGUGAUGCACCAGUACCACCUCGGGGACCUGGAGCAAGAGAAGGAGCGGGAGCUGGUCCUCUGCAAGAUUUUCUACCAGACGAACACUAGGGCCAGGAGUAAAAAGAUUAUAAGUCGAGCAAGUUUCAACUGGGCUGUAGACUGCCCAGGGUUGGUUUUGUUUUUAACAGGCCCAGCCCAUGACGACAACGGGGCCCAGAGAUCCAGCAGGGCGGGGGAGUUUGCGGAACAGCCCCCAUCUAGGAACGGGGCUGGAUGGGGCUUGGUGGGUGGGUCCGUGGGGUGGCACGAGCCGCCCGUGCUCCUGCCGUCCUUCGUCAUCGUCGACCUCUUCAGGGUCUGGGUCCGGUCGGUGGUGGUGGAACGCGUGCGACCGUGCUGGUGUAGCGCGCGGAUAACGAGGGCCGGUGACAGGUCGGGUCCUGGGUCUGGGCGUUGGGGGUGGCGCGGGGCCCCCUCGGGGGUUGGGGCGGGCGGUGGGAGAAACCCAGCCUCCUUGGAGUUUAGAGCUUUCUCACCGUUGGAUCUUUCCUCCGGUGCGUUUUCGACCAUCCGAUCACAAGAUGGAGGGAUCUCGGACGUCGGAUCAAACCAUGAAACCAUAGUACGAAACAGUGUCCCUACCGGGAUGCCAGCGCCUGUAGUUUUGAUCGCCCACCGAGGGCAUUCCUGGAAUUUUGCUAUGAGGGAUAAAAGCUCAACGCCCAUAGGGUUUCUCCCCAAUCGGCUUCCUCUCCGCCGCCCCUCCCCUUCCACCCUAGGCGCCGUGCACCAUCGUGCAACGGCGAGCCCGCCCUCCUAUCCCCCUCUCCUCUCCAUGGUCCUCGGCAGAGGCAGCACAAGCGACCGCCGCACCACGCAAGAGAGCGUCCUCUCAGGCCACAUCGGGGAGGACCCGGACGUCGUGUUGUGGAUCGGCCAAAAGGAGACGGCCGCACGCCAGCAUCACCAGGAGGAGCAACAGGGAGUAGCGACGGCCACCGAGAUGGCCGUCCACGUCGCCAUUGUCGUCGUCCUUCAUCUGAAUCGGCGAGCUAUGACACGUUCGAUGUGCACAUUAAUUGCUGUCACCGAAGAGUGCUGCUCCUUCUCGCCCAGCUCCUCCGCCUUGUGCUCUCCUCCUCAAGUUGCCAGCCACCCUCGAUCUACUGCUCCUCCUAUCACCACACCUCCCCAACCUCCUCGACUAGUUGAAGAGGAACCACCCCCAGCAGUCGUCCUCACGACGUACUUGUGCUUUGUUUUAGCGUCCCAGAGAAGGAUGCUGCUCUUCUCUCAUAGACCACAUGAUUCCUGCCUUUUGUUGAUUGAUUUUGCCGACCCAGAACGAUGCUUUGUAUCAUGUAAGAUACAUAGUGGGAGAAACCCAGCCUCCUUGGAGUUUAGAGCUUUCUCGCCGUUGGAUCUUUCCUCCGAUGCGUUUUCGACCAUCCGAUCACGAGAUGGAGGGAUCUGGGAAGUCGGAUCAAACCAUGAAACUAUAGAUCGAAACAGUGUCCAUACAAGGAUGCCACCGCCUGUAGUUUUGAUCGCCCACCGAGGGCAUUCCUGGAAUUUCGCUUUGAGGGAUAAAAGCGCAACGCCCAUAGGGUUUCUCCCCAAUCAGCUUCCUCUCCGCUUCCUGUUUCACGCGAGGAGAGCCGCCGCCGCCGCCCCCGCCCCCUCCCCUUCCACCCUAGGCGCCGUGCACCAUCGUGCAAUGGCGAGCCCGCCCUCCCACCCCCCUCUCCUCUCCAUGGUCCUCGGCAGAGGCAACAUGAGCGACCGCCGCACCACGCAAGAGAGCGCCCUCUCAGGCCACAUCGGGGAGGACCCGGACGUCGUGUUGUGGAGCGGCCAAAAGGAGAUGGCCGCGUGCCAGCAUCACCGGGAGGAGCAACAGGGAGUAGCGACGGCCACCGAGAUGGCCGUCCACGUCACCAUUGUCGUCGUCCUUCAUGUGCUCUUCCUCUUGCUCUUGCCUGCCCCUCCUAGCUAUCUGUUGUUGUGUUGUUGCUGCCUCCUAAAGUGCUGCUCCUUCUCGCCCAGCUCCUCCACCUUGGGCUCUCCUCCUCAAGUUGCCAGCCACCCUCGAUCUACUGCUCCUCCCAUCACCACACCUCCCCAACCUCCUCGACUAGUUGAAGAGGAACCACCCCCAGCAGUUGUCCUCACGCCGCACUUGUGCUUUGUUUUAGCGUCCCAGGCUUUGGUGCACUCGCUCAAUUCUGAAAUUGUCCAUAUUGAUGGCUUCGUAUCCAUCGCCUUUGCCAAGUCAUUUGUCCUUCGAGUUGUAUUUGGAACAUUGCCAUCUCUAGCCGACCUGCGCAAGCAGAAAGCUGAGCAGGAGCAGCUCGGGGAUGAAGCCAAGCAAAAUGAGGCCAAGAGCCUGAUGGCGCAUCGUCCAAGAACCAGGCAAAACACCACUGUCAAUGUGAGUAACGACGAGCGAAUGGGCGGCAGCGUCGCGCACAAUGGCAUGAUGAUCAGAUCGGCAACGUGA